rnacentral:rRNA from 1 species
CCUACGGGGGGCAGCAGUGGGGAAUAUUGGACAAUGGGGGCAACCCUGAUCCAGCCAUGCCGCGUGUGUGAAGAAGGCCCUCGGGUUGUAAAGCACUUUCAGUGAGGAAGAACGCCUGGUGGUUAAUACCCAUCAGGAAAGACAUCACUCACAGAAGAAGCACCGGCUAACUCCGUGCCAGCAGCCGCGGUAAUACGGAGGGUGCGAGCGUUAAUCGGAAUUACUGGGCGUAAAGCGCGCGUAGGUGGCUUGAUAAGCCGGUUGUGAAAGCCCCGGGCUCAACCUGGGAACGGCAUCCGGAACUGUCAAGCUAGAGUGCAGGAGAGGAAGGUAGAACUCCCGGUGUAGCGGUGAAAUGCGUAGAGAUCGGGAGGAAUACCAGUGGCGAAGGCGGCCUUCUGGACUGACACUGACACUGAGGUGCGAAAGCGUGGGUAGCAAACAGGAUUAGAUACCCUUGUAGUC